AUGAAGGGCUAUGGUUCUGUGAUGCAAGGAUUACAAUACGGUAUCAAGAAGAUGGUGAAAGGCCGUGAAAAACCAACCUCAAUCGCUAAUGAAUAUGAUGCUUUCCGGAGAGAUAGAGGUUGUUGUGAUGUUCACGUUUUGCUGAAGAUCGAUGAUAAUUAUUGCGGGAGGUUGUGGCAAGAUUGUUGCGGGAGAUUGAAGAAAAAAGAAGGUCGAAUGGAGAUUGCAGCGGGAAAUGAUGGUGGUUGUAGGUGGUGGAAGGGAUUUAUUGCAGUAGCAGUUGUGGAUUUGUAG